GAAAUGCGAUAAGUAAUGUGAAUUGCAGAAUUCAGUGAAUCAUCGAAUCUUUGAACGCACAUUGCGCCCCUUGGUAUUCCGAGGGGCAUGCCCGUUCGAGCGUCAUUAUAACCCCUCAAGCCCAGCUUGGCGUUGGGGCCUGCUGUUGCCGGCAGCCCUUAAAAUCAGUGGCGGUGCCAUCUGGCUCUAAGCGUAGUAAUACUUCUCGCUACAGAGUCCUGGUGGAUGCUUGCCAUCAACCCCUAAAUUUCUAUGGUUGACCUCGGAUCGGGUAGGGAUACCCGCUGAACUUAA
rnacentral:misc_RNA from 1 species